rnacentral:rRNA from 1 species
AUUGAACGCUGGCGGCAGGCUUAACACAUGCAAGUCGAACGAGUGGCGGACGGGUGAGUAAUGCUUGGGAAUCUAGCUUAUGGAGGGGGAUAACUACGGGAAACUGUAGCUAAUACCGCGUAACAUAGGAUGAGCACAAGUUGGCUUAGGUAGUUUUGGAGGUAAAGGCACACCAAGCCGACGAUAUCUAGCUGGUCUGAGAGGAUGACCAGCCACACUGCGAAUGAGACACUGCCCAUCCGCCUACGGGAUGCAGCAUUGGGGAAUAUUGCGCAAUGGGGGCAACCUGACGCAGCCAUGCCGCGUGAAUGAAGAAGGCCUUCGGGUUGUAAAGUUCUUUCGGUAGCGAGGCGUUAACUACAGAAGAAGCACCGGCUAACUCCGUGCCAGCAGCCGCGGUAAUAC